UUUGUAUAAACCCCUCCCUCUGAAUGUGGGCAGGGCCUGUGACUCGCUUCUAACUAACAGAACUGGCAAACGUGGUGAGGCAUCACUCUCAUGAUUACAUUAUGUUGUAGAAGACUUGGCCUUGCCAGCUAACUCUAGAAAUUCUCUUUGCUAAAGCAGGCAGUCAUGCUAGAAAAGCCCACAUGGCAAGGAACUGCAAGCAGCCUCUAGGAACUGUGGGUGACCUCCCACCAACAUCCAGCAAAAAGCCCAGGCCCUCAGUCCCACAACUGCAAGAAAAUCAAUUCUGCCAACCACAGGAAUUUGGACGCCAAUUCCUCCCCUGCCAAGCCUCCAGAGGAGAACACAACCCGGUCAAUAUCUUCACGGCAGCAGCCUAAGACCCUAAGCAGAGAACCCAGGGGUGACUGCUUCCUUGAAGAUCUGUGUCAUCAACCAGAGCGACAGGAACCCUCCACCACGUGGCAAAGAUCAAACACGAUGCAUUAAAAGCCAGGACCAAGAAGGGGCCCACAAAGCCCUGCCCUGAACACCUCCUGCUCUUGCUGGUCUUGCAAGUCUACAGCCAGGUGUGGGUGGAGAAGCCAGUGGCCAAUCUAAAGAUGCUGCCACAUGGAUCGUGCAGGACCAGAGAGAGUCCUUGUUGCUCCUGGCGAGAUACAAAGGCUGGUCUUUCACCAGGGCAGCUUGUGCUAGCCUUUCAGCCUGACUCUUGGCCUAAGGGUGCUAAGGCGAGUCCUUGGGUGAGAUUCCUGCUAACAAGACCCCUUCUGUCAGUUGAGGAAAGCAGGCUCCUGCCAGAGAAGAUGACAUGGAACAAGCUGCAUGACAUCUGCCCCAGAGGAAGCCAAGACCAAAAUGAAGGAACAAGGGAAAAAGAGUGAGAAAGCUGGGAACAGAGUAAAGCUGGGCUUGGGGGAACUGAGCUACCUGUAAGACAGAUCUCUGUUAGGGGAAGAGAGACUAAACUACAGCUGAACAGAACAAGGGGCUAGUAAACUUGGAUUUGACUUAGGCUUGAUUAACCCCAAGGAAGUCCAGUUGGCAGGUGGGAUGUUGGGUUAGGGUUACAGUUAGGGUUGGCCUAUUAUUUUGUUUGACUUCCUGCUCCUCUAGCUGGUAGCACUAGCCACAUGCAGCCACUCAUCAGAACAAGCUGGAGCCAAAAGCAAGAGGGAGAAUAUUUAAAUCCAGCCAACAGCUGAUUGGAUGGUCCCAUGAGCAGCAUGGACUGUAUGGAAAAACGGGUCCGAUCAGGGGCUGCCUCAAGCUCCAUAGCAGACCAUCAGAACUACUUCAGUGGAGUCAUUCCUGGUAUCAAAACCCAAGUGACUACCUGUUGGACCAGCAGCCUCAUAUCCUAGCUGAUGGCCAUCCCAGGGGUCACCAAUAUGAGCUUCUGCCCUGAAGUGCCUCUUCCACUGCAAGAAUAUCACACUGGACUGACUACCUUUUGUACAUUAAGUUUAUUACCUAAUAAAUGCUCCUA
rnacentral:lncRNA from 1 species